CAAAAAUGGGAGCUCCUUUGAGGACAAAGAAAGCACUUUGGAUCGUCUUUUUGCUCAUUGAAGAGUCAUCCUUUGGACUGAAGGGAGCUCCUAAUUCUU
rfam:Amborella trichopoda AMTR_V1.0_contig_41403, whole genome shotgun sequence.